rnacentral:lncRNA from 1 species
CAGAGACAGCAAGGGCAGAUAGCACAAGUUUUAAUUUUUUUUUUAAGGCCCACUUCAUGAGAUUGAAGCGAUACUUGACACUGCUAGAACUUGUCAAGAACUUGUCACUAGAGUACACAGGUGUCUUCAGGGAAAAGAUGUAACAAAUAUUCUACAUAAUGGACAUAGAAAUAAAAUGACUUCUAAUGACACUAUGUUAUAUUUGUAGAUCACUACAUGAUUGAACUCUCCAGAGAAGCUGCUUCUUCUAAUAGAUGGCAAUGAACAUGCAGAUCCGCAACUAGACCUCAUGCAGAGCACACAGACCCCUAAGUACCUGUAUCAUUCCCCUACCCUCAAUUCAUGUAUCUCUAUGGAAGAGAAAGCAGAAAGGUUGAAAGAGCUACAGGAGGUGGAUGACUCUAGGGAAACAGCACUUUACAGACACAACUGGGAUGAUAUACACAAGAACUUACAGAGGUGGAGAGAGCACACCAAAAUUCUGUACAACUUCAAACAAAUCAAGUCUCAGCAGGGAUAAUGGAAAAUAUACAUAAAGAUGAGUCUUUGCCUAAGAAGCUAUUUGUAAUUGAUUGCUCCUGGGUGAGAGGAAAAUCUGUAUUCUUCAAUAGAAUGACACUGUACAUCAGCUCCAUUCCAGACAAUACUCAGGCAUAGGUGGGCAAUAUGAAAUAGGCUUCUCAGGCUUACUUGGUUUGUGUGUUUGUACACAUGUGUACUUGUGGGAGUUUAAGUGUUGGCUUUGGCAUUUUCAGAGAAAAUAUGAAUUUACACAUGUCAGGGAAUCUGAAAGAAUUUUGUGUAAGGGAAUAUAUGAGUAACAUAUAGUGUACGGAUAAUAUAAAAAAAAAAGAGCUUGCAAUGUGGCAAGACCCUAGUGGACAAAAUGCUUACCAUGCAAUCAGCAACUCAGUUCUGGUUUCCAGAACCCAGAGAAGAGAGUGGGAAUGGUAGAUGUCUUUAAGACCAGCUCUUCGAAGUGAAUGAGGGUAAGCAGAUUCCGUGGUUUGCUUGUCAGCAACUGUAGCAGAAAUGGUGAGCAUCUGGUUUAAUGAGAGAUCCUCUGUCCAAAACUACAGGGCAGAGUUAGAGAGGAACAAACUCGGGGCUUCAAGAUGACCUAUUAAAAGCAAAUAUGUUGAACUCAGAAAAAUCCAAAUAGGGCUGGCAAAAAUAUCAAUGUAUUUUAAGUAAAAUAGGUUGAUCCCAUGAUGUAUUAUAAUCUAGCUUCUACUAAAGUCGUUUAGUAGAAAAUAAGCAGGUACAUAUAAAGAAAGGCAUACUUCAUAUAAAUAUUAGAAUGCUUUAGGUCACAUACAAACUAAGCACAAAAUUGUUAGAGGAAACAAAACUAAAUAUCCAAGUAAAGUUAAUAAUGAGUUUAAAUGAAAAUAUUAGAAAGAUAACUGAAAAAUAUGGUGGGUCUGAAAUG